rnacentral:rRNA from 1 species
CCUACGGGUGGCAGCAGUGAGGAAUAUUGGUCAAUGGGCGAGAGCCUGAACCAGCCAAGUCGCGUGAAGGAUGACGGAUCUAUGGUUUGUACACUGCUUUUAUAUGGGGAUAAAGUGAGGCACGUGUUCCUUUUUGUAUGUACCAUAUGAAUAAGCAUCGGCUAACUCCGUGCCAGCAGCCGCGGUAAUACGGAGGGUGCGAGCGUUAUCCGGAUUUAUUGGGUUUAAAGGGGGCGUAGGUGGUUAAUUAAGUCAGCGGUGAAAGUUUGUGGCUCAACCAUAAAAUUGCUGUGGAAACUGGUUGACUUGAGUAUAUGUGAGGUAGGCGGAAUGCGUGGUGUAGCGGUGAAAGGCAUAGAUAUCACGAAGAACUCCGAUUGCGAAGGCAGCUUACUAAACUAUAACUGACACUGAAGCACGAAAGCGUGGGGAUCAAACAGGAUUAGAUACCCGGGUAGUC